rnacentral:rRNA from 1 species
UACGGAGGGUGCAAGCGUUGCUCGGAAUUAUUGGGCGUAAAGGGUAGGUAGGUGGUCUCAUUUGUCUGGGGUGAAAGCCUUGAGCUUAACUCAAGAAGUGCCCCAGAAACGGUGAGACUAGAGUCCUGGAGAGGGUCGUGGAAUUCCCGGUGUAGCGGUGAAAUGCGUAGAGAUCGGGAGGAACACCAGAGGCGAAGGCGGCGACCUGGACAGGUACUGACACUCAACUACGAAAGCGUGGGGAGCGAACAGG